rnacentral:rRNA from 1 species
AUGCACGCUGGCGGCGUGCCUCAUCCCUGCCAGUCGCGCGAACAGACGAGGAGCUUGCUCCUUCGACGUUAGCGGCGGACGGGUGCGUAACACGUAGGUAACCUACCUAUAAGACUGGGCUAACUUCGGGAAACCGGAGCUAAUACCGGAUAAUCUUUCGAACCGCCUGGUUCGAUAGUGAAAGAUUGCUUUGCUAUCACUUAUAGAUGGACCUGCGCCGUAUUAGCUAGUUGGUAAGGUAACGGCUUACCAAGGCAACGAUACGUAGCCGACCUGAGAGGGUGAUCGGCCACACUGGAACUGAGACACGGUCCAGACUCCUACGGGAGGCAGCAGUAGGGAAUCUUCCGCAAUGGGCGAAAGCCUGACGGAGCAACGCCGCGUGAGUGAUGAAGGUCUUCGGAUCGUAAAACUCUGUUAUUAGGGAAGAACAAACGUGUAAGUAACUGUGCACGUCUUGACGGUACCUAAUCAGAAAGCCACGGCUAACUACGUG